rnacentral:rRNA from 1 species
UACCAGCACCCCGAGUGGUCGGGACGUUUAUUGGGCCUAAAGCAUCCGUAGCCGGUUCUACAAAUCUUCCGUUAAAUCCACCUGCUCAACAGAUGGGCUGCGGAAGAUACUAUGGAGCUAGGAGGCGGGAGAGGCAAGCGGUACUCGAUGGGUAGGGGUAAAAUCCGUUGAUCCAUUGAAGACCACCAGUGGCGAAGGCGGCUUGCCAGAACGCGCUCGACGGUGAGGGAUGAAAGCUGGGGGAGCAAACCGG